AAGAAAGUAGAAAAGGGCGCAUGGAGGAUGCCUAGGCUCUUGUAGGCGAAGAAGGACGUGGUAAGCUGCGAUAAGCACCGGGGAUUGGCAAACUCGAAUUGAUCCGGUGAUUUCCGAAUGGGGCAACCCGGCAGGCUGGAGGCCUGUCACUCGACUUCGGUCGAGGGCAAACCCGCUGAACUGAAACAUCUAAGUAGGCGGAGGAGAAGAAAACAAACGUGAUUUCCUUAGUAGUGGCGAGCGAACGGGAAGUAGCCUAAACCGUAAUUGUUACGGCAAUUGCGGGGUUGUAGGACUGCGACAUACGAGUAUGAACGAACAAGAAUUGAUCUGGAAAGAUUGACCAUAGAGGGUGAUAGUCCCGUAUUGGUAAACCUCAUACAAGUUAGCAGUAUCCUGAGUAGGGCGGGGCACGAGGAACCCUGUCUGAAUCCGCCGGGACCACCCGGUAAGGCUAAAUACUCACAAGAGACCGAUAGUGAACCAGUACCGUGAGGGAAAGGUGAAAAGAACCCUGAACAAGGGAGUGAAAUAGAACCUGAAACCGUGCGCUUACAACCUGUCGGAGCAGCUUCGUGCUGUGACGGCGUGCCUUUUGCAUAAUGAGCCUACGAGUUACUAAUCACUAGCGAGGUUAAGGACUGGGAAGUCCGGAGCCGAAGCGAAAGCGAGUCUGAAUAGGGCGUUUUAGUUAGUGGUUGUAGACGCGAAACCUUGCGAUCUACCCUUGACCAGGUUGAAGUUCAGGUAAAACUGAAUGGAGGACCGAACCAGUUAACGUUGAAAAGUUUUUGGAUGAGUUGAGGGUAGGGGUGAAAGGCUAAUCAAGCUGGGAAAUAGCUCGUACUCCCCGAAAUGCAUUUAGGUGCAGCGUUAUAGUAGUUUACCGGAGGUAGAGCUACUGGUUGGAUGCGGGGGCUUCACCGCCUACCAAAUCCUGUCAAACUCCGAAUGCCGGUAAUAUGGUCUAUAGCAGUGAGCGACCGGGUGCUAAUGUCCGGUCACGAAAGAGGAACAACUCAGACCAUCAGUUAAGGUCCCCAAACAUACACUAAGUUGAUAGAACGUGGUAGAACUGCAGCGACAGCUAGGAUGUUAGCUUGGAAGCAGCUAUUCAUUUAAAGAGUGCGUAACAGCUCACUAGUCGAGCGGUUCUGCGUGGAUAAUAAACGGGCAUCAAGUGUAUUACCGAAACUAUGGACUCUACGGAGUGGUAGGGGAGCAUUCUAGUUGCGUCGAAGCCGUAUGGUAAUGUAUGGUGGAGCGGCUAGAAAAGCAAAUGUAGGCAUAAGUAACGAUAAGGCGGGCGAGAAACCCGCCCACCGCUAGACUAAGGUUUCCUGAUCAACGCUAAUCGGAUCAGGGUUAGUCGGGACCUAAGGGUAAGCCGAAAGGUGAUCUCGAUGGACAAUCGGUUAAUAUUCCGAUACUAAUAUAUGUUUCGAUGGAGAGACGGAGGAGCGUAAGUUGCGCGCACUGACGGAAUAGUGCGUUAAAGGGCUUAGGUAUAGGGAUUGGUUAAUAGCCAGUCUUUGCUGAAACCUGACAGUACAGAGAGCCUACGGGCAAUUUGAUAGUCAACCCAAGCCGACUUCCAAGAAAAACUUCUAAGGUUAGGCAUAUAUUACCCGUACCGCAAACCGACACAGGUAGUCAAGGAGAGUAUCCUAAGGUGCUCGAGUGAUUCAUGGUUAAGGAACUCUGCAAAAUAACCCCGUAACUUCGGGAGAAGGGGUCCUCAGGUGACUGAGGCGCAGCGAAGAGGUCCAGGCGACUGUUUACCAAAAACAUAGGGCUAUGCUAAUUCGUAAGACGACGUAUAUGGCCUGACACCUGCCCGGUGCUGGAAGGUUAAGAGGGGAUGUCAUUCCGCAAGGGAGAAGCAUUGAAUCGAAGCCCCAGUAAACGGCGGCCGUAACUAUAACGGUCCUAAGGUAGCGAAAUUCCUUGUCGGGUAAGUUCCGACCUGCACGAAUGGUGUAACGAUCUGGACGCUGUCUCGACCAUGAGCUCGGUGAAAUUGUAGUCCCGGUGAAGAUGCCGGGUACCCGCAACGGGACGAAAAGACCCCGUGAACCUUUACUAUAGCUUAACGCUGAAUUUGGGUGCAAAAUGUGUAGGAUAGGCCGGAGACUAUGAAGUGGGUACGCUAGUAUUCAUGGAGUCGACGUUGAAAUACGGCCCUUUUUGU
rnacentral:rRNA from 1 species